rnacentral:misc_RNA from 1 species
GAUGAAGAACGCAGCGAAAUGCGAUAAGUAAUGCGAAUUGCAGAAUUUCCGUGAGUCAUCGAAUCUUUGAACGCACAUUGCGCCCACUGGUAUUCCGGCGGGCAUGCCUGUUCGAGCGUCAUUUCAACCCUCAAGCCCCCGGGUUUGGUGUUGGGGAUCGGCUCUGCCCUUCUGGGCGGUGCCGCCCCCGAAAUACAUUGGCGGUCUCGCUGCAGCCUCCAUUGCGUAGUAGCUAACACCUCGCAACUGGAACGCGGCGCGGCCAUGCCGUAAAACCCCAACUUCUGAAUGUUGACCUCGGAUCAGGUAGGAAUACCCGCUGAACUUAAGCAUAUCAAUAAGCGGAGGA